CCCUUAGAUGUUCUGGGCCGCACGCGCGCUACACUGACGAAUGCAACGAGCUUAUAACCUUGGCCGAAAGGUCUGGGUAAUCUCCAAAUUUCGUCGUGAUGGGGAUAGAUUAUUGCAAUUAUUAAUCUUCAACGAGGAAUGCCUAGUAAGCGCAAGUCAUCAGCUUGCGUUGAUUACGUCCCUGCCAUUUGUACACACCGCCCGUCGCUCCUACCGAUUGAAUGGUCCGGUGAAGCGUUCGGACCGUGGCCUUUGGACGGUUCGCCGUCUGUUGGCUGCGGGAAGUUCGUUAAACCUUAUCAUUUAGAGGAAGGAGAAGUCGUAACA
rnacentral:rRNA from 1 species